rnacentral:tRNA from 1 species
GCCCGAUUAGCUCAGCUGGUUAGAGCGUCGUACUAAUAAUGCCGAAGGUCAACAGUUCAAUCCUGUUAUUGGGCA